rnacentral:lncRNA from 1 species
GAAACUGAAACUAUAAAUUACCUAGAACAGUUAUACGAAGAAAUUUACCCAGAAGGAUAUUAUUCAGAUUAAGAUAUGUUAGAAUAUAUUAGACAAACUAGAGAAAAUCAAGAAAAUCUAAAUAAUGAAAUUAAUUAUAGAAACCGAAUUAGACAAAUAAUAAAAGACCUAAAAGAAAAAUUAAUAUGGAUAGAAAAAACCUUAGAAAAUUUAGAUAAAAAUACAUGUGAUAGUUUAUAUAAUUUAAAAAACUCACUACGAGAAGAACAACACAAAAUAAUAAAUAACAUUGAAAAUCUAGAAUUAGAUAUAUAUUAUAGCACAGAUAGGAUAAAUUAUUAUACAAGAAUUUGUAACUCUGUAAUUACUACAGGAUAAAAUAAUUAAUGAAUAUAUCUUACGACAAAAGUAAAUUAUUAAAAGAUAACAUCCACGCACUAAAUAAAAAUAGAUUCACUACAAUAUGUACCAAAUCUAUUAUACAAAUCUAUUAUACCUACAAAUCCGCGCACCCCCCUUACAAAUGGUAUCAGAGCAUAGCAAUUUAAAAAGUACG